CAGUCGCCACGGUAAGACAGAGGUUGCAAACGUUGUUCGGAAUCACUGGGCAUAAAGCGCACGUAGGCGGCUGACUAAGUCAGAUGUGAAAUCCCCCGGCUCAACCGAGGAACUGCGUCUGAUACUGGUCGGUUUGAGAACGGUAGGGGUGAGCGGAACUCCAGGUGGAGCGGUGAAAUGCGUAGAUAUCUGGAGGAACACCGGUGGCGAAAGCGGCUCACUGGACCGUCACUGACGCUGAGGUGCGAAAGCUAGGGUAGCAAACGGGAUUAGAGACCCCUGUAGUCCCUGUCUCUUAUAC
rnacentral:rRNA from 1 species